GCUUCGGUUAGAGCGCCCCGAUGAUAUCGGGGAGGCCGCGGGUUCAAAUCCCGC
rnacentral:tRNA from 2 species